GUUAACCUACAGUAGAAAAAGUUUUUCAAGGGUGACAACAUGGACAAAUAUAGUUACUUACAUGGACAUAGUUUUUUUUGUAUUUGGAGCUUAGUAAUAGUUUUUACACAGGUCAACAAAUGAAGGCAUUCAAGAGUUUAAAUUCUUACAAAUAUUUUGAGACAACGCUCCUGCUCAUCCCUCUGAAAAUAUUCUAUGAUCAAAACAUGGCAACUUUAAAUGUAUGUUUUUGCCAAAAAAUACAUCGCUUAUUCAACCCAUGGAUCAGGAAAUAAUUUUAGCAACAAAAUGAAUAUAUCGCAGAAAGUUUUUAGAUGAAGUAAUUGUAUGAUGAAGAUAACACAGAAAAUACAAGAGGGCAGCAUACUUUGCAAAACAAC
rnacentral:lncRNA from 1 species